AGGAGUGGGCCUGAGUCCUUAGCUGUGUGACAGGGCUGAUGCCUCCUGGGUUUCAACUGAUUUCUUUACAGCAGAGUCAGCACAGCCUUAAUGGAGCUCCCAGGAUCAAUUCAAGAAGGAAAAAAAGAAAAAAGGGUGUAUCUGCAAGUACUUGGAAAGCCGUACAGAUGAAAGGGAUUACAGUUAAGACCCAGAACACUCGGAUCUACUAAUUUCUCUCUAGACAGCAUGGAGGCAGCAUAAUCACUCCCCACAGACGUCCACAUCCUAAUUGCUGGGGGCCAUGAAUCUGUUAGCUUACAUGGCAAAGAGGACUUUGCAGAUGUGAUUAAGGAUUUGGAGAUUAUCCUGGAUUAUCUGGUGGGCCCUCGGUCAUCACAAGGGUCCUUAAAAGAGGGAGGUGGAAGGGUCUGAGUCUGAAAGGGGCAUGUGACUUGAGCCAUGGUGGCCAGGAGCCAGAAAAUGCAGCGGCACUCCGGGGCUGGCACAGGAGAUGCACAGCUCAGCCGUCACCCUAAUUUUAGCCACUUCAGACCUCUGAUCUCUAGACGUCAGAGAAUACAUCUGUGUUGUUUUAAGCCACUAAAUUUAAGGUCAUUUGUUGUGGCAGCAAUGAGAAGUAAUAACGACAUAGUGACAGAAGCACUGUUUCAAAUGUGAUUCUCCAACUUUUUUUUUUUUCCUUCCCAGUCAAUGAAAGCUUCUGUUCUUCCCAAGUUACCUCAAGGUUUCU
rnacentral:lncRNA from 1 species